UUAUUAUUCACACUGAUUAUGUUGCAGUAUUGCUUCUGUUUCAAAGAAGAAAGAAGCAAUUCUAAUUUCUUUUUUAUUUCAGGGUGCCCAGGACACCAGCUGAAUCCUACCUCAUCUCUUGUAUGAUGUAGACUCACUUGGCAGAUACUUAUACACAUCCUGGAAGCAGAAGGAAAGAAAGAAAUGCAAAAGGUAAUUGCAUAAUAAUGAUCUUCAUUGUGUUUUUUAUUUACUGAGAGUAGCAAAUA
rnacentral:lncRNA from 11 species